rnacentral:rRNA from 1 species
CCUACGGGGGGCAGCAGUCGAGAAUCAUUCACAAUGGGGGAAACCCUGAUGGUGCGACGCCGCGUGGGGGAAUGAAGGUCUUCGGAUUGUAAACCCCUGUCAUGUGGGAGCAAAUUAAAAAGAUCGUACCACAAGAGGAAGAGACGGCUAACUCUGUGCCAGCAGCCGCGGUAAUACAGAGGUCUCAAGCGUUGUUCGGAAUCACUGGGCGUAAAGCGUGCGUAGGCUGUUACGUAAGUCGUGUGUGAAAGGCGCGGGCUCAACCCGCGGACGGCACAUGUUACUGCGAGACUAGAGUAAGGGAGGGGGAACCGGAAUUCUCGGUGUAGCAGUGAAAUGCGUAGAUAUCGAGAGGAACACUCGUGGCGAAGGCGGGUUCCUGGACAUUAACUGACGCUGAGGCACGAAGGCCAGGGGAGCGAAAGGGAUUAGAUACCCUUGUAGUC